CCUACGGGUGGCUGCAGUGGGGAAUAUUGGACAAUGGGGGGAACCCUGAUCCAGCCAUGCCGCGUGUGUGAAGAAGGCCCUCGGGUUGUAAAGCACUUUCAGUGAGGAAGAACGCCUGGUGGUUAAUACCCAUCAGGAAAGACAUCACUCACAGAAGAAGCACCGGCUAACUCCGUGCCAGCAGCCGCGGUAAUACGGAGGGUGCGAGCGUUAAUCGGAAUUACUGGGCGUAAAGCGCGCGUAGGUGGCUUGAUAAGCCGGUUGUGAAAGCCCCGGGCUCAACCUGGGAACGGCAUCCGGAACUGUCAAGCUAGAGUGCAGGAGAGGAAGGUAGAAUUCCCGGUGUAGCGGUGAAAUGCGUAGAGAUCGGGAGGAAUACCAGUGGCGAAGGCGGUCUUCUGGACUGACACUGACACUGAGGUGCGAAAGCGUGGGUAGCAAACAGGAUUAGAUACCCUAGUAGUC
rnacentral:rRNA from 1 species